CAGCUUUUUUUCUCCACGUGAAGUGUCGUUCCUCUUCCAAAGCUGUGGCGCAGUUUACGUUCUCGUCUGGAUGAAGUGUUGGUCAGCAGAGGACCUGUGUUACUGUAGACUACAGUGAUCAGUGUCCUGCAGCAGAAAUCAUCAAGUUUGGAGCCACAAGGACAUUUUGUCUCCAGCAGCAGCUGUGUUCAUCUCUAUGAAUGAGGUGGAGCAUCAGCACAGGAAGAACUAUUAAACUUUACUUUUUAAAACUAUGAAACAGAACAUUGCCUUUGCAGAGGAUGCGUUUUAAAUUGAUUUAUUUAGUCAAUUUAAACUUAACAAUGAAACAAGGUGUUAACAUCUGGACCAGAACCUUUGUUUGUUCAAGCCAAAGAGACGUUCAGGUGCAUCAUGUACAUUUGAAUGAACACCAGAGCUGAACAAUAUGCAGAAAUCAUCAUAUUCCAUGUAUUUUGUUGGUUCUUCCUUUGGCCUCACUCCACCUCUCCUCCACAUGUCAUGAAAUGUGAGCUGGUAGUUUUGGUGGAAUACUGCAGACAAACAAACAAACUGAUCUCAGAGCUCAGCACUGAGCUGUAAAUGGAGAGGAGGAGCAACACUGAUCAGAUGAUCCAGUAACAUGAGAACAGGGAGGAAACACUGCAGCUGUCUGUUAGUUCAGACUCAGUCAGAGGAAGAAACCUGAUUAUGGAGGCAGACUGAAGUCCUCAAGAUGAGUGAGGAGGAGUUUCCAGCCUCCAGCUGUCUAUGAAGAGCGACCGAUCCAACGAUCAUCCUCCAGACUUCAGUAAAGAACCUAAACCCUCAGAGACAAAAAGACGGAGAGUAGAGUCUGCAGCCUCCAGCUGUCUGUCUAUGAAGAGCGACCGAUCCAACGAUCAUCCUCCAGACUUCAGUAAAGAACCUAAACCCUCAGAGACAAAUGUGGACAGGAAUCAGCUGCUGAGGUUCAUCCACUGCUGUGCUGCCUCUGACGUCCAGCAGGAGGCAGCAUCCGGCCUGCUGAGGACUCUGCAGCACCGCUUGGAUCUGUCCUGCCAGUCCUUUGUGGAUCUACAAGAGGAGGAUCAGACCGAGCCUCUGAGUCUGACUGCUGAUGACUGCAGGGCUGCAUCCAUCAUCCUGAAACACUGCAGCCGGGACACUCAGCUCCACCUGCAGGACUGUGAGGUGGAGGACGGAGGACUGGACCUGCUGUUUCCUGUCCUGGACAGGGUCCGUCUCAGAGUCAGUAAAAGUGUCCUCCUCCAGCUGCUGUCCCUGAUUCCUGUCCACUCUGAGAGGGACACAGUGAGACGGGCCGAGUCCCUGUGUGGAGCUCUGGGUGGAGAGCUGGACCUCAGUCACACCACACUGGACCAGAGGGUCUGUGGAGGUCUGGUCCAGAUGCUGGACUCCUGUGAAGGACUGACUGAGCUGGACCUCAGUCACUGUCAGCUCAGAGACCAGCUGCUGCUGGUCCUCAUCACACAUCUGCACAAAGUCCAGGUCCUGGAUCUGAGCCACAAUAAGAUCACAGAUGCUUCCACAGAUGUGCUCCUCCAGCUGAUCUCCAUCCACUCCUCCAUCCACACUGUGAGACUCUUCAGCAACGACAUCGUGGACAGAAGACCCUUUAAGAAGCACAAGCAGUUUGAAAUCUGGUGAAGCAGUCAGGAGGUCAUGUGAUCAUCAGGGAGGAACUGUUGGAUGUUGUCAUUAAAAAGCCUUUUCUCCUCAUGAUCAGAUGAAAACAUGGAGUUCAUUCUGGUCAUCAGUAGUGUGUGAUGGAGAGACUUUAGUUGAAACAAGCUUUGAUUUUUACCUCAUUAGAUUCUCUUUGCUUUUUACAAUCAAUCAGACGACACUUUAUCUGGAGGCAAAGAGCAGCCAGCAGUGUUUUCUAAAACUUCACCACCUAUGUUUGACAUUAUUAGUUAGUGGAGCUCAUAUUUCUGUUUGCUACCAUGUAAUGAUCGUCUUAAAAUUAUUUUUUUAUUGUGACAAAACAGAGACUAUAACUGUCAGUGUUGUGAAUAGGCUGAAGUGAUAUUUUUCUACUGCUGUGAUAACUGUAUUUAUUCUUGUUUGCAUGUUCCAGUGGAGGGAGAGUAAAAUGACUCUCUGAUAGCACCUCAGAGGAAUGAAGCAAGAAGAGUUCAUUCAGGACUAAACUGUUUGGUACAUUCCUAGAACUGGAAGAAACCAUCAGAAAACUGGAAACAUGUUGAGGAUUUUUCACUCACAUUUGAAAUAAAGUCAUCCAAGAGAUGAUGUUUCUUCCUGU
ensembl:lncRNA